GACGAACGCUGGCGGCGUGCUUAACACAUGCAAGUCGAACGGAAAGGCCCUGCUUUUGUGGGGUGCUCGAGUGGCGAACGGGUGAGUAACACGUGAGUAACCUGCCCUUGACUUUGGGAUAACUUCAGGAAACUGGGGCUAAUACCGGAUAGGAGCUCCUGCUGCAUGGUGGGGGUUGGAAAGUUUCGGCGGUUGGGGAUGGACUCGCGGCUUAUCAGCUUGUUGGUGGGGUAGUGGCUUACCAAGGCUUUGACGGGUAGCCGGCCUGAGAGGGUGACCGGCCACAUUGGGACUGGGAUACGGACCAGACUCCUACGGGAGGCAGCAGUGGGGAAUAUUGCACAAUGGGCGGAAGCCUGAUGCAGCAACGCCGCGUGCGGGAUGACGGCCUUCGGGUUGUAAACCGCUUUCGCCUGUGACGAAGCGUGAGUGACGGUAAUGGGUAAAGAAGCACCGGCUAACUACGUG
rnacentral:rRNA from 1 species